GACGAACGCUGGCGGCGUGCCUAAUACAUGCAAGUUGAGCGCUGAAGGUUGGUACUUGUACCAACUGGAUGAGCAGCGAACGGGUGAGUAACGAGUGGGGAAUCUGCCUUUGAGCGGGGGACAACAUUUGGAAACGAAUGCUAAUACCGCAUAAAAACUUUAAACACAAGGUUUAAGUUUGAAAGAUGCAAUUGCAUCACUGAAAGAUGAUCCCGCGUUGUAUUAGCUAGUUGGUGAGGUAAAGGCGCACCAAGGCGAUGAUACAUAGCCGACCUGAGAGGGUGAUCGGCCACAUUGGGACUGAGACCCGGCCCAAACUCCUACGGGAGGCAGCAGUAGGGAAUCUUCGGCCAUGGACGAAAGUCUGACCGCGCAACGCCGCGUGAGUGCAGAAGGUUUUCGGAUCGUAAAACUCUGUUGGUAGAGAAGAACGUUGGUGAGAGUGGAAAGCUCAUCAAGUGACGGUAACUACCCAGAAAGGGACGGCUAACUACGUG
rnacentral:rRNA from 1 species